AGAUGUUGGUCUUGCAUCACUAUGGUUGACCAUCAGCCAUCAGACGCUCGCUGUCAGGGGACUGACCUCCUGAUUUGGUUACUGGAGAACUUCAGGCCAGGGAGGGCUUUGGCCUCAGUCUGAGUUGGGCUCAAAUCUCUGUUCUGCUGCUUUCUAGUAUGUGCCUUUCGGCGAGCCACUUACCUCGCCGGGCCUCAGUUUCCUCGUCUGUAAAAUGGGGAUCAUAAGAGUAGUGGCUUGUCUCUGAGAGCUGUGGGAAGGAUUACAUGUGGUCAUGGGUGUUCCUGGCUUAGGGUAACUUCCCUCAUGGAAUGGAAAUGAAUCUGAUUCAAUCUUGUUAUCUGCACAACAGUCUCGUGUAACAGGAUGUUACAGUUGAUGUUUCCAUUAGGCACUAAGAUAAGACAGAUGUGCAGUUUCAAAGAGAGGUGCCAAUUCACUGUGUGCAGACUUUCAGGUGAAAUAGUUAGAAACAUACCACAGCUCUCAAUCCUCUUUUACCAACUUCAGAAUUAGAAAAGAAUUGAGAAUGAAGAGGAUGGCACAGGAUUUGUGAGGAAGCUGUCCUGAGAGCCUUAUCCUCUCCCUAUCUUAGGGAGUCAAGGAUGCCUGCCCUCUUCAUCUUAAAUGUGAGAUGGGUGUGCAGAGAACAGAUGUAAGACUAGCACGUGUGGCCUAUUAGGCAGGAUGGGACAGGCUUUGCUGCAGUAACAAAUAGGCCCAGAAAUCUCGGUGGCUUAACCCCACAAAGCUCUAUUUCCUGCUCAGGUCGAAGACUGGCGCCGUUCAGGCUAUCCUCUUCUGUCUUACAGUGGUGCUGUCUGGAACACAUGGCCUUCGAGGCAGGAAAGAGAGAUGGUGGAAGCAUCUGGCUCUUAAAUGCCUCAGUCCAGAAGGGACACAUGGAAGUUCUGUUCACUUCAUUGGCCAGAACUCAUCACACGGCUUCAAUCCAACUGCAAGGGAGUCUGGGCAACACGGGAGCACACGGAUAUUUGGGGUCUCCCUCACCAUUCCAGAAAAGCUGAUGGGGAGAUCCCAGGACUCCCACUCCGCCAUCCGGCAGCCCGUGAAGAUGGGUGUAGAGGAAGGAAGAGGCAAAGUCUGCAAGGCCCAAGACGGCUGCUGCCUUGGCAGCUCAAAGACCCAGAACCACCUUUCCCAUCCCCAUCAAAGACACCUGAGGACAGAGGACAGAGGACAAGUGAGCCAGCUGAGCACAGAGAGGCGCCUGGGUGAGUGCCCUGGGACACCUUGCUCCUCUCUGUCCCAAGCUGGGCCAGGGGAGCCCAGAGCUGGUGGGGGCCGUGAGAGUUGCAGAGUGGCUGCGGUGAGGGCAGGAUACUCGCAGCUCUCCGCUCUCCUUACUUUGUAGA
rnacentral:lncRNA from 1 species